UUAAAGUUUUAUUUUGACUUGAAUUUUUGAUUUAUUUUUAUUUUAUAUGUAAAUUUUUAUUUAAAAAUUAUAAUUGCAGUAUUUAAUUUUAAGAAAUUAUUUUUGUAAGUUUUAGUAAUUAAUUAUAGAUUUAAUAAAAUUUGUGCCAGCAAUUGCGGUUAUACAAAUGAUUCAAUUAAAAUUUAUUGGUUAAUAAUUUAUUGUUAAUGGAAAAAUUGUUAUUAAAAUUUUUAGGUGAAAUUUAAAUUUUAAUAUAGUUUUUAUUUUUAAAUUUGAGGUUAUUAAAAUUAUGAUUAAACUAGGAUUAGAUACCCUACUAUUUAGAUUGUAAAAUUUCAUAUCAGAUUAGUAUUAGUUAUUUUCUUUAAAAUUAAAAAAUUUGGCAGUAUUUUAGUCUAUUUAGAGGAACCUGUUCUGUAAUUGAUAAUACACGAUUUAUUUUACUUUCUUUAUGUUCGUAUAUCGUUGUUUUUGAGAAUUUUAUAAGAAUAGUAAUUUUCAUUGAGUAUGAUUAUAGGAGAUUUCAGAUCAAGGUGCGGCUUGCAGGAAAGAAGAAAUGGGUUACAAUAAAUUUAUUUUUGGUUUUAAUUUUUAGAAAAAUUAAUUAAAUUGGAUUUAAUAGUAAAGUUUUAUAAAUUUGAGACUUGAUUAAGCUCUAAAAUGUGUACAUAUUGCCCGUCGCUCUCGUUUAGAUGAGAUAAGUCGUAACAAAGUAGAUUUACUGGAAAGUGAAUCUAGAAUU
rnacentral:ncRNA from 1 species